AUCAUGGCUCAGGACGAACGCUGGCGGCGUGCUUAACACAUGCAAGUCGAACGAUGUCCAACCAGUCGCAAGACUGGGGAAGACAGAGUGGCGAACGGGUGAGUAACACGUGAGCAACCUGCCUCGAAGACUGGGAUAACAGCGGGAAACCGCUGCUAAUACCGGAUACCCCCAUCGGGUCGCAUGGCCUGAUGAGGAAAUGAAUUUCGCUUUGAGAGGGGCUCGCGGGCUAUCAGCUUGUUGGUGGGGUAACGGCCCACCAAGGCUACGACGGCUAGCUGGUCUGAGAGGACGACCAGCCACACUGGGACUGAGACACGGCCCAGACUCCUACGGGAGGCAGCAGUGGGGAAUCUUGCGCAAUGGGCGAAAGCCUGACGCAGCAACGCCGCGUGCGGGAUGACGGCCUUCGGGUUGUAAACCGCUUUCAGCAGGGACGAAACUGACGGUACCUGCAGAAGAAGCCCCGGCCAACUACGUGCCAGCAGCCGCGGUAAUACGUAGGGGGCGAGCGUUGUCCGGAUUCAUUGGGCGUAAAGCGCUUUAAGGCGGUUCGCUAAGUCGGGUGUGAAACCUCCAGGCUCAACCUGGAGACGCCACUCGAUACUGGCGUGACUAGAGUUCGGUAGGGGACCACGGAAUUCCUGGUGUAGCGGUGAAAUGCGCAGAUAUCAGGAGGAACACCAGUGGCGAAGGCGGUGGUCUGGGCCGAUACUGACGCUGU
rnacentral:rRNA from 1 species